CCAGCCUCUACAGCCACAUUCUCCUUUACAGUUUUUGCAAAAUACUCUUAUACACCAUCUGAUUUAAUGCCACCAACAACUACAAGGUGUUGUCACGAUCACUUAGUGACAGAGAGAGAUGGAUAUUAUAGCUAAAAAAAAGGGCAGGGGCAAUAAUGGAACUUAAACUCAGUCUUCUGACUCCAAGCUCUGGGGUUUUGCCAUGAAUCAGCAGCUGCCAGGGACCAAAACCAGAGGCAGAGGUAGAAAAGUAAACAUUAAGUAGACAGGAACUGCACUCUGUGUGGGUUACAGUCAUACAUCCUCACAUGUCUGUUAGUGUGAAGAAGUGCACCAGUACCUCUUAAACUUUUAUAUCAAUGUGUCCUCAUGGCAGAAGGCAGCUUUUUUGUUAAAUCUCAGAAUUUAUCAGAAAGAGGACAACCCAAGUCUCAUUUCAGAGAGAAGUCUGGUAUACUCUUAGAAACCUAUGUGACUGUCUUCCCUAAGUACAUUAAUGCUUUUUCUCUCUCAAGGGAAUCAAGGGAAAUUGAUGCUUCAGAAAGAUCUCCCACACUUAUCCUGUGGCACUCAAAGUACCCCAGAUUGGGAUGAUAAGAGGAAGAUUCAAGCUGUCAAGUUCAAUUUCCCCAGAUCUAUUCCACAGAAGAUGAGCAAAUCUCACUCCAGCGACCAUUGACUGAAGGGCAGUCUGGUCCCAGAACCAUGAAGAAUUAGAAUAUGAGGUGGAGAACUGAGAAAAUAAUGUUAAAGUCUCUCUGGAGAGUAGAAGCCUGGGAGAAAAUCAAACCAAACCAAACCAAACCUGUUCUCCCAUUGCCACCCAGAGAUACUGUCAAUGUUUUGAGCUCACGGGGGAAUUGUAGGCUUUUCACGCUGUCAAUGUCUAUGUGAAGGGAGUAAGGCAGCCUGAAACCUCUUGCCCCUAGGUCCCAUAGUCCCCAUUCCCCUUCCAGCUGGAAAUUUGUGCUGUGACCACAGGAACCAGAAAUGGGGUGAGAAUGCUUAGGGGACUGGGUUGUAAGAUCAAAGGCCGGUCUUGAAGCAGUAAUGACAGUUCCUGGGGGGACUGUGACAUCACUACAUUCCACUCCUCCUAGGGGAGGGAGGGAACAACAUCAGUGUGAUGGCUGAGUCACCGAUUCACAAUGGAGCAGGGGGAUGUAGGGCUGGGACCCAGGUCCACGGAGACACCAGCCCAAAGAGCCCAGGGAGGUCGGGCUUGGGUCAGCAGGAGGGGAGAGCAGAGUCUGCAGCAGGAAGCCCGAGGAGUCACCAGCCCAAAGUCACCCAGGGAUGACUGGUGAGGGUGGGGCCUGGGGCUGGGGGACCCAGGUCCUUGGAGAGCGUUUCUCACCUCUGGAGGACUCAGCAUUCAAGGUGCCAUCUUGGAAGCAGAGAGCAGCCCUCACUAGACUACAAACCUGCUGGCGCUUUGAUCUUGGACUUCCCACCCACCAGAACUCUCUCCACUCCCUUCCUAGACUUUCUUCAUAGAGCCAGAAGAGGGUACCUGAAUUGGCCUGGACUGCUCAGCCUGUACGGUUCUGGGAGUGGGGUGGGGUGGAUGGAGUGAACUCAGCAGGCACCCCCAGCUCUGCUCUCCUGUGGUGUGACUGGAUCUCCAGGAGGGACUUCGACUUUUCCAGGUCUUAGCACUGAAGAUGCUUUGGUGCUUCUGCACAGGGGAGAAAAUUCAAAAUAAAAACAAAACCAUAAACCAUGCAAUACAACUUUUAUAUGGAUGCUAAAAAUAAAAUGUUGUUUUGUUUUCUUAAAGUUUC